GACGAACGCUGGCGGCGUGCCUAAUACAUGCAAGUUGAGCGAUGAAGAUUGGUGCUUGCACCAAUUUGAAGAGCAGCGAACGGGUGAGUAACGCGUGGGGAAUCUGCCUUUGAGCGGGGGACAACAUUUGAAAACGAAUGCUAAUACCGCAUAAUAACUUUAAACAUAAGUUUUAAGUUUGAAAGAUGCAAUUGCAUCACUCAAAGAUGAUCCCGCGUUGUAUUAGCUAGUUGGUGAGGUAAAGGCUCACCAAGGCGAUGAUACAUAGCCGACCUGAGAGGGUGAUCGGCCACAUUGGGACUGAGACACGGCCCAAACUCCUACGGGAGGCAGCAGUAGGGAAUCUUCGGCAAUGGACGAAAGUCUGACCGAGCAACGCCGCGUGAGUGAAGAAGGUUUUCGGAUCGUAAAACUCUGUUGGUAGAGAAGAACGUUGGUGAGAGUGGAAAGCUCAUCAAGUGACGGUAACUACCCAGAAAGGGGCGGCUAACUACGUG
rnacentral:rRNA from 1 species